rnacentral:rRNA from 1 species
UACGGGGGGGGCGAGCGUUGUUCGGAAUUACUGGGCGUAAAGGGUUUGUAGGUGGUCUGCUAAGUCAGACGUGAAAUCCCUCAGCUUAACUGGGGAACUGCGUCUGAUACUGGCGGACUUGAGGACAGGAGAGGAACGCGGAAUUCCAGGUGUAGCGGUGAAAUGCGCAGAUAUCAGGAAGAACACCCGUGGCGAAGGCGGCUCUCUGGGACGGUACUGACGCUGAGACGCGAAAGCGUGGGGAGCGAACAGG